rnacentral:rRNA from 1 species
GACGUAGGGCGUGAGCGUUGUCCGGAUUUAUUGGGCGUAAAGAGCUCGUAGGCGGCUUGUCGCGUCGACUGUGAAAACCCGCAGCUCAACUGCGGGCCUGCAGUCGAUACGGGCAGGCUAGAGUUCGGUAGGGGAGACUGGAGUUCCUGGUGUAGCGGUGAAAUGCGCAGAUAUCAGGAGGAACACCUGUGGCGAAGGCGGCUC